rnacentral:tRNA from 1 species
UUGGGGAUUUAGCUCAGUGGUAGAGCGCUUGCCUAGCAAGCGCAAGGCCCUGGGUUCGGUCCUCAGCUCUGGAAA